GACGUAGGGGGCCAGCGUUGUUCGGAAUUACUGGGUGUAAAGGGUUCGUAGGCGGUGUGGCAAGUCUGGAGUGAAAUCUCUGGGCUCAACCCAGAGUCUGCUUCCGAAACUGCUGUGCUUGAGUGUGGGAGAGGCGCGUGGAGUUGCAGGUGUAGCGGUGAAAUGCGUAGAUAUCUGCAGGAACACCCGUGGCGAAAGCGGCGCGCUGGACCACUACUGACGCUGAGGAACGAAAGCUAGGGGAGCAAACAGG
rnacentral:rRNA from 1 species